rnacentral:rRNA from 1 species
UACAGAGGUCUCAAGCGUUGUUCGGAUUCAUUGGGCGUAAAGGGUGCGUAGGCGGCGCGGUAAGCCGGGUGUGAAAUUUCGGAGCUUAACUCCGAAACUGCAUUCGAUACUGGCGUGCUUGAGGACUGGAGAGGAGACUGGAAUUUACGGUGUAGCAGUGAAAUGCGUAGAUAUCGUAAGGAAGACCAGUGGCGAAGGCGGGUCUCUGGACAGUUCCUGACACUGAGACACGAAGGCCAGGGGAGCAAACGGG